UACAAAGGGUGCAAACGUUAUCCAGAUUCACUGGGUUUAAAGGGUGCGUAGGUGGGCAGGUAAGUCAGUGGUGAAAUCUCCGGGCUUAACCCGGAAACUGCCAUUGAUACUAUCUGUCUUGAAUACCGUGGAGGUGAGCGGAAUAUGUCAUGUAGCGGUGAAAUGCUUAGAUAUGACAUAGAACACCAAUUGCGAAAGCAGCUCACUACACGAAUAUUGACACUGAGGCACGAAAGCGUGGGGAUCAAACAGG
rnacentral:rRNA from 1 species